UACGUAGGGGGCAAGCGUUGUCCGGAAUCAUUGGGCGUAAAGCGCGUGUAGGCGGCCAGAAAAGUCCGCUGUGAAAACUCGAGGCUCAACUUCGAGCUGUCGGUGGAAACUUUCUGGCUAGAGUCCGGAAGAGGAGAAUGGAAUUCCUGGUGUAGCGGUGAAAUGCGCAGAUAUCAGGAAGAACACCAGUGGCGAAGGCGGCUCACUGGCCCGGUACUGACGCUGAUGUGCGAAAGCGUGGGGAGCAAACAGG
rnacentral:rRNA from 1 species